CCUGAAGCUCUCCCCCACCCUUAUUAUUUGUGACACAAGUGUAGAACCACAGCCAUACCCUGCCUGUGUGCUGUGCAGCACCGAACAAAAAAAAUUCAGGGUGAAAGAACUAAUCCCACUAUUGCUCCCAUGGCACUGAAAAACCAGUAACAGCAUCUCUGCUGUGACUAAGUUACUUUCAGCUGGAUUCGUACAAGUAGAAGGAUUUUUUUUCCCCCUAACAUCUCUAAGUAAGAUCUGCUGAGCACCAUGUAAUAACAAUGAAGACAGACCAGACUUGACAGUCUUGAGUGUGGAAAAAUAGAAGGAGAAAUUACCAGCCUAUUUAAAGAGACACCGCAUUCAUCUGGAGGUUACGGAUCUUCCAUUUUCGCCUGCCAAUUACCAUCUACAAAGACACGGGGUGCGUGCAGCUACCUUUGCAUCCAUGCAACAGCACGGCUUGGCUCAGCUGGGGUGCGACCAGGCAGCCUGUGGUUGGUGAGUGAUGCACAACAGCACAGUAAGUAAUUGUGUUUUAUGCUGCUGCACCUCACUCAGAGCUAUAACCAGUAAUUAGU
rnacentral:lncRNA from 1 species